GUGAUAAGCAUAUCACCGCAAGGUGUCGCAUAAGUUAGUUAUUGUCUUGAUUCUUCCACUCUAACAAUAAUCAAAAUAAAAAUUUUUGAACAAAGAUAUACAGGUACUAUAAGCUCUGACUGUAAAAAAAUCGUUGUUAUCAAUUAAUUAGUAAAAUUGUCAUUGUUAUUAAAUAUAAUUGAAAUUAGAACCAUUAAAUGAAGUUUUGAAAUAUAUCAAAAUGAAAAACAAAUCAACACAUCAUAAAUGGAAAUAUAUAUUUCAGCUUGUAGAAAUAUGGAAAAUGAGAAAAUGGAAAUACAUUUUUCAUGAAAUGAUUCAGAAAUGGAAUCUCCUGAAUCUAAUAUACAAUUAAUGUAAUUCUAAAAUACAAAUGAAAAAAAUCAUUACAUUUUUUCAAUUAUUCGAUAAGAAAUAAUAUAUCAUCAAUCAUUCUUAAAAUAUAUCCAGAAACAAUUAUUCGUAAAAUUAUAUAAGAGUUAGUAUAAUUUCUUUUCAAAAAAUUGCAAGUCAACAUUAAUUUACUAGCUUUAAAAGGUUUAUGUCUGAAAAUUUGAUAGACCAUAUCAAUUUACUCGUUUGCAAAACAAAUGUAACUUUGUUUGAACAUCUUAAAAAAUGAAUUCAUAAAUUGAAUAAGAAAUAUUCAAUUAAGAAAAGGAAGAUAAAAAUGGUAAUGAUGACGAUGAAAUCAUGGUGAUAAAAAUAAUACUUUUGCUAACCAAGACAAAGAAGAAAAAAUAGAUAUAAAAUUAAAUAAUGAAAAUAUUAUAUAUAUUUAGAAGAUUUAUUUAGCAAAUUAUAAGAUGAAACAAUAGAUACAUAUUUGUCUGAUCUGCAAAAACAAAUUAUACUUUCAUAAUAUAGAUCAAACUAUGUUCCAAUAAACAUUGAACAUUAAAGAAUUAUAUUUAUACUAAUCUGGUUGAUACUUUUAAAAUUUUAACUUAGAACAUAUUCGCACAAUUACAACUAGAUAUUAUCUUGAUAAAAUUAACAGACAAAAUUAUCAAAAACUUAAUUUUCAUCGCAUAAAUUUUGAAAUAAGUUAUAAGUCAUAUUGUUAACUCAGAUAACGAGGAUUUAUAUAAAGAGAGUAAUAUUUUAUUUCUUACUCGACUAAUGAAAGUAUUAAGAAAAAUUGUAGAUAUAGAAAUAAUUCAGUGACCUAAUUUGAUAUCAGUGAUAAAUACAACAUUUAAAUAGGUCACCAAUGUAAUGACUACUAUAUGAUGACUACUACUACAUGGGAAAAUUAAAUAAAAUACUUUUUAAUGUAAUAUCUCAAUCGAUAUGAUAAAUGUCAACAAGUGAAGAAUUAUCUGUCUUUUGGGUUAAUUGGCAAAGAAGAUAAUUUCUGUGAAAAAAAAAAAAAAAACAAAUAUAUAAUAAAAAAGAAGUAAAAAGAUUAUAAGGAAGUACUCGAAGAAACACUGGCUGUGAAGUCCUUUAAUUAUACGUUUCAUAUGCUUCGAAAACAGCUACAGUUUUAUACACCUGCACCUCUACUGAGACGUUUUUCCAAACUACGAUAAAGAUGAGUGUAUUGGUGUAAUGUCGCUUUAUCUUCAUAUAUUUUACACUUUCUUUCUGUGUUUUCACUACAUCAUUGUUUCUUUUAAAAGAAUAGUGUUUUAUCGCUAAAGGAGAAGAAAAAAAGAGACAAUUAAUUGUAAUUCGAAAAUCAAGCAAUCUUAAUUAAAAAAUUUUUGAAAUCAA